CAGAAGGGUCCGAGCAAACGUACAAAUGAACAAAUUAAUGUAUCUAAGUGUACAGAGAGACUCCUCAGGCAUGAUGAGGCUGAAAAUCUUCAACUAUACGAAGGAGUCUGUGUAAGGCUACAAGUUCCUCUGUUUGGUCUCAAGUGUAGAAUCAGGACCAAGUCUGGAAGCUGAAGGAAAGCAAAUUUCAACUCAACAAAAGGAGGACCACUGUGCUAUCUAGAGGCUUGGACAAAAUGCUCAGGUUCCUUAUCCUAGAAGGGAUCCAGCCACAAGAGAGCUUACGAGUGUUGACAUCCAGGCAACCAGCUCCUGGUGCGCUGGAAACACAGAGGCAGAGACGGGGCAGCCCCGAACUGGAUGCCAUCUCUCAAGUGAACCUUGUGUCUUGCAGAUGCCCAGUUUGGUCUGAGGUGCCAGCGUUUGCACACACUCCCUCAAGGGGAAGUAUACGGAGGAGAUUUACUGUAUGUUCUUCCAGAAUGAUGCCAGAAGGCUGCCGUGUGAAAUUACUAUGGGGCACAAGAGUGGAGCUUUCCAGAUCUGGCCGUAACAAGUACAGGGGUGGCAGGUGCAGCAGCUCACCCCCCCAGACGGGGGAAACAAAGCCCUGGGACUGGGAAACUCACUGCUGUUUGUUCUGA
rnacentral:lncRNA from 1 species